UACGUAGGGUGCGAGCGUUAAUCGGAAUUACUGGGCGUAAAGUGUGCGCAGGCGGCCGAGCAAGUCGAGUGUGAAAGCCCCGGGCUUAACUUGGGAAUUGCGCUCGAAACUACUUGGCUAGAGUGUGGCAGAGGAAGGUGGAAUUCCAUGUGUAGCGGUGAAAUGCGUAGAGAUGUGGAGGAACACCGAUGGCGAAGGCAGCCUUCUGGGCCAACACUGACGCUCAUGCACGAAAGCGUGGGGAGCAAACAGG
rnacentral:rRNA from 1 species